rnacentral:rRNA from 1 species
AGUGAACGCUGGCGGUAGGCCUAACACAUGCAAGUCGGACGGCAGCACAGUAAGAGCUUGCUCUUACGGGUGGCGAGUGGCGGACGGGUGAGGAAUACAUCGGAAUCUACUUUUUCGUGGGGGAUAACGUAGGGAAACUUACGCUAAUACCGCAUACGACCUACGGGUGAAAGCAGGGGAUCUUCGGACCUUGCGCGAUUGAAUGAGCCGAUGUCGGAUUAGCUAGUUGGCGGGGUAAAGGCCCACCAAGGCGACGAUCCGUAGCUGGUCUGAGAGGAUGAUCAGCCACACUGUAACUGAGACACGGCCCAGACUCCUACGGGAGGCAGCAGUGGGGAAUAUUGGACAAUGGGCGCAAGCCUGAUCCAGCCAUACCGCGUGGGUGAAGAAGGCCUUCGGGUUGUAAAGCCCUUUUGUUGGGAAAGAAAAGCAGCAGGUUAAUACCCCGCUGUUCUGACGGUACCCAAAGAAUAAGCACCGGCUAACUUCGUG